rnacentral:rRNA from 1 species
UUCGGGGACAUUGGUGACAGGUGGUGCAUGGUUGUCGUCAGCUCGUGUCGUGAGAUGUUGGGUUAAGUCCCGCAACGAGCGCAACCCUUGUCUUUAGUUGCCAUCAUUAAGUUGGGCACUCUAGAGAGACUGCCAGGGAUAACCUGGAGGAAGGUGGGGAUGACGUCAAAUCAUCAUGCCCCUUAUGCUUAGGGCUACACACGUGCUACAAUGGGUAGUACAGAGGGUUGCCAAGCCGUAAGGUGGAGCUAAUCCCUUAAAGCUACUCUCAGUUCGGGUUGUAGGCUGAAACUCGCCUACAUGAAGCUGGAGUUACUAGUAAUCGCAGAACAGAAUGCUGCGGUGAAUGCGUUCCCGGGUCGUGUACACAACGCCCGUCACACCACGGGCGUUGGAGACGCCCGAAGCCGCUUAUCUCACCGUUUGGAAGCAGUCGUCGAAGGUGGAAUCAAUAACUGGGGUGAAGUCGUAACAAGGUAGCCGUAUCGGAAGGUGCGGCUGGAUCACCUCCUUUCUAAGGA